rnacentral:tRNA from 1 species
UCUAUAGCUCAGCUGGUAGAGCACAGGGCUCUUAUUCUCAUGGUUCUGGGUUCGAGCCCCACACUGAGCAAAA